rnacentral:lncRNA from 1 species
UACAAAUCCUGUGCCCAUUCUUAAAUUGGGUUGUCUUUCUAUUAUUAUAUUAGCUGUUUAUUUUUAACCAAUAUCCUAUUCUAGGUACAAGUCCUUUAUCAAAUAUAUGAUUUUCAACUAUUUUGUCUUUUCAUCUUUUCAAUAGAAUCAUUGAAGCACAAAUUUAAAAAUGUUGAUGAAGUCCAAUUUAUCUGGUUUUUCUUGAUUCUCAUGCUUUUGAUGCUUUUGUGUAAGGGUUCUUUGUCAAAUACAAAGUCAUAAAAUUUAUACCCAUGUUUUCUUCUGAGAGUUUUAUAGUUGUGGUCUUCUCUUCAGGUCUUUGAAUCAUUUUGAUUUAAUUUUUUGUAUAUGAUAAGGAUAAGGACCCAACUUCAUUCUUUUGUAUUUGGUUAUUCAGCUGCCCUAGCACAAUUUGUUGAAAAGAUUAUGCAUUGAUCAUCGAAUUGUCUUGGUGCCCUUGUUGAAGGUCAAUUUAUCAUAAAUGUAUAAGUUUAUUUCUGGGUUUUCAUUUUCAUUCCAUUCAUCUAUAUGCUUGUCCUUAAGCCAAUACUGCCCAGUCAUUAUUACUAUAUCUUAGUAGUGAGUUUUGAAAUUGACAUGUGUAAAUCCUCUAACUUUGCUCUUCCUUUUCAAAAUUGUUUUGGCUUUUCUAGUUUCCUUAUAUUUACAUACGGAUUUUAGGAUCAGAUUGUCAAUUUCUGUGAAAACAGCAAGAAGGGAUUUUGAUAGAGAUUGUACUGAAUCUUAGAUCAAUUUAUACAGUAUUGCCUUCCAAUUCACGAACACAGGGUAUCUUCCAAGUUAUUUGAUGUUCUUUAAAUUCCUAACUAUAAAAGAUUAAUAUGCAGAUUUUGCACUUGAUUGGUUAAAUUCAUUUUUAAGAAUUUUUUUGUUUGAUGUGAUUAUACAUAGAAUUAUUUUCUUAAAUUUUGGACUGUUUAUUUGUGUUGUUUAAAAAUACAAUUGAUUUUUUAUAUUGAUCCUGAAUCUUGCAACCUUGGUGAACUCAUAUAUUAGCUCUUGUAUCUUCUUGUGCAUUAUGCCUUUUAUGAUCUUAUCUUGAAGGGCAUAAAGGUCACUUCUCCAUAUUAUCUAUUAUUAAAAGUUAGUCAUGGAGUCCAGCAUACACUUGAGGAGACGGAUUUCAGACUCCACUUUUUGAAAUAGGAGUGUCAAAGAAUUUAUGGACAUAAUUUGAAGCUAUCACAAUAGUGUCCAAAUGAUUGACUGCCUGAUACAAAAUUGCUACCCAGCCCUUACUCCUAAUGUCUGCUUGAGUUCCAUUUGGUCCUAGUCCUCUACUCUAGAGGGCAGAAACUAGUAAAGGGGUGAAUUUCAAAGUUCUCUUUGAGAAUGCUGCAUUUGUGUAUAAUAGAGAUGGAUGGCUUCUUACUACAGAUUGAAAUCAGAAGAAAGAUUUUGAACAAGAUUUUGAAAGAUUUGAACCAGGUGUCGUGCCCUUAUAGAAAAUUAUUGAAUUGUAUCAGCAUGACCAAUAAAUCCAACUUCUAAAAAUAAUGUUAGUGGGAAGUCAGGCCUGAUUACAGUAGGAAUAAAUUCACUGCUUAUUUAUGGUUUUUCUCCUUUCUCUCUCCUUCCCUGGAAAACUUUCUCCUUCUCUCCUUUCUCUCUUUCUGAAAAGAACUUAUAAUGUUUAAUGAAUCCUACCUCUAUUUGAUCACUAGCACAGAGGCUGUCCCAUAUCCUUGAACUCCUCCUUAGGUCUUCUGUGUAAGAACCUUCACAAUUACUGGAUGCUUCAUGAGAUUUCUUCUCACUUUGUGGUAGACUGGCUGUGUCCAUCAAAGAUGGCGACUAUUGUUUCAGCAGCAUUGACUCUUGUCUGCUUCACCAAGGAUCUACAGUAUGUUCACAGAGAAAUUCUGGUUCUUUUUCAGGAGGUAAAACUUCAUACUGCUCUUCCAAGUGACCAGAGUGUUAUUUGUGUUAUUGAUGCAUGCCACCAGCAUUCUCUCAGCCUCUUAGGAGCUUCCAGUGUUGGGCAAAGUGAUCAUAGCUGUGGUUCACAAAUCCCUGAAUUUCAUGGCCUUAGUCUAGAUGUCAUGACCCAUGAUGGGGUGAAAGAGCUUGGAUAGGUAUUCUACAAGAACAAUUUCAAAGUUAAAUUUGUUCAAAAAUAAUCAUAAUAAGUCUCUUGGAAUUAAACUUAACAUAAAAAGUGCUUCUAAUUAUAAACAAUAAAUGAUACUUAACACUGUUUAUGUGGUAAAUAUUUCUACAUAACAGUUUAAUUCAUAACUGAAACAUCACACAACUUGACAUUUACUACUUCCUUAAUUCUUAUACUCUCUUUUGAACACUUCUUAAAUACUACAUAUACUUCACAAUAAUUCUAUUAUUUCUCGAGAAUAAGAAAAUCCAAUAUUCUUGACCACUGAACUAAAAAGGAAUUUUUUGGAAGUGAUUUAAGAUAGUGUUUGGCUCUUCAUGAUUGCUACUCCUGGUUACUCAUAAACUUUUCCAAAAACUACCAGAUUCCACAGAUGAGAGUGUGGGGCAAAUUCAAGGAGACUAAACAAACAAAGAAAAUGACCCAAAGGUGUCAUUAAAAGCAUCUAUCUUAUUUUCUGUUUUUUAAGUUAUAAAAGAUAUUUUUCUUUCUUUCAUGCUUUUACCUUUCCCCUCCAUCAAAGUAAAUAAAAUAAGUAAGAAAAUGCUAAAUUAAUUGUUCAAGGGGGUGAUUCUAAGGAUUGAGGGAAGGACAGAACCCAUUAUAGGAAUUACUAGAGGCUCUUGGUAGGCAUUUUCAAAUAACAAUUCUAACAGGCUUUUUUUUAGGAGACAUCAAGUCCAGGUGAGUCACUGUUAAUGACUCAUUCAUCCAGUAAAUAUGUAUUGAGCACCUACUAAGUGCCAGAUACUGUACCAGACAAAAGACUCAAUGAGCAAAAUCAGACGGGAACACCUUCUUUCUUUAUAAUUUUUUAGUUGUAGUUGGACACAAAGGUAUUUUACUUUUAUUUUUUAAUUUAUUUUUAUGUGGUGCUGAGGAUCGAACCCAGGGCCUCAACAUGUGCUAGGCUAGUCCUCUACCACUGAGCCACAACCCCAGCCCCCAGGAACACCUUCUUUAUGGAGGUUUUGAUUUGGAGGUGAAGGAAGAGGAGACAAACAUUGAUCUAAUAAUCACACAGGGAAAUGUAGGAUUAUAACUGUGAUCAGUUCUAAGAAGGACAGAGCCCAGUAGUAUGAGGAAUGUAACCUCACCUGUGGAAGGGUGGGUUGGUGGUGGAAAGCCUCCACAAAGAGACAGGAUGAAUUUGCAGGAAAGUGAGAAAAACUUUCCUGGAAAAAUAGGAUGUGGUUCAGGUGCAGAGAGGAUAGGGAAGUUGUAUGAAAUAGAGCUGGAGAGAUUGGAAGGAGCUCAUUGUGGAAAGCCUUCUAGACAAUAUAUUAUUUCAGUCAAAGGUGGGGUGAAAAGGUC